GUGAGGAAUAUUGGUCAAUGGACGGAAGUCUGAACCAGCCAUGCCGCGUGAAGGAUGAAGGCGUUCUGCGUUGUAAACUUCUUUUAUCAGAGAAGAAACCACUGAUUUCUAUUAGUGUUGACGGUAUCUGAUGAUUAAGCACCGGCUAACUCCGUGCCAGCAGCCGCGGUAAUACGGAGGGUGCAAGCGUUAUCCGGAUUUACUGGGUUUAAAGGGUGUGUAGGCGGGCUAUUAAGUCAGGGGUGAAAUCCCGGGGAUCAACCUCGGAACUGCCUUUGAUACUAUUAGUCUUGAAUUAUGUUGAGGUUGGCGGAAUAUAACAUGUAGCGGUGAAAUGCAUAGAUAUGUUAUAGAACACCGAUUGCGAAGGCAGCUGGCUAAACAUAUAUUGACGCUGAGGCACGAAAGCGUGGGUAGCGAACAGGAUUAGAAACCCUUGUAGUCC
rnacentral:rRNA from 1 species